GACGAGGAGGAAAGGGUGUGGAGGAAGCCGGGCCACGGUCUGGGGAGCAAACUUCCCCCGUCGAGACGGGAAAAAAAUAGAAAGAAGCCUCGAGACAAAGGAUCCCCACGACACGCGCGGUUCUUUCAACAGAUGAUUUGAGAAUGAAACUUGAUAAUCCGUUCAUGCUGCUCGCAAAGAAAGAUGACACGACGGAUCUCAGUGGCAGGAGUGAUGAACCAAGACUGCGAGCUGCCAGCUGUCCCUCGAUCACAACAGAAGUUCUCCUGCUCCUUUCCAUCGUGGGCCAUGCUUUGCCUUUUCCCCACACCGAGUGGUUUCCCCACCCAAACAGCAUUCAGAGACGUUCUUUCAGCUGACCCAUCUCCCAGGUAUCUCCAGCCUCCCAUGGUUCCAUCCAGCUGGGUCCCAGGAUGACCCAGCCAGGGCAGCCCAGCUCCUCCCCUGCCAAAGUCCUGGUGUGGGAAUCACACCUGAGCUGCUCCCACAAGUCCAGGCUCUACUCAGGACCCACCACACCCACUCCCAAGAGUCCCUGUGACACAGUGGGAAGCACAGAAGGGUGGGAAUGUUGGCUGAGCUGUGGGAUGAACCCCAAAUCCCACCACUGCCAACAAGAGCUCCAACAAAGCGCGGAGCUUUGCCAGCAUGAAAUCCCAUUUCCCGACCAGCCCCAAGUACUGUGUGAAAAUUUUAUUUUCUCUGAAAACUCUAUCACUCUCUUAAAUCCGCUGGAAUUUUUUUCCACCGCAAAGAACAAAGCUUUAGAUAAAAGCAUCUGACCAGCCACAGCAAAAAUACAGUAAAAGGCCAUGAAAAAGGAGCUGUCAACUUUCAUGCCCAAAUAUAUUCUAUUUAAAUGCAACUAAAAAAGAACAGCUAGGGGAAAAGGCAGCAAUAAAUUAAGGCUUUUCUUCUUCUAAUCCAGUUGAAAGGUCAUAUGAUGUUAGGUUUUUACAAGUUGUAAUUAAUUUCUUUCCAUGAAAUAAACAAUUAACUGAAAACUGACCAGAAACUUUUAAAUCAAAAUGCUUCAGGAAAAAGUGUCCAUUUGCCUCAGCACCACCAGCGUUUCUCCAGAGCAGCAUUUCAUAGCCCUUGAUCGUGGCGUGCCAUGGAAAGCACGGAUGUGAGAUGAACGGCUCCACAAAUGGGAAACACCUCCACCUUUGUGUCCUCGGGAGGCACAGCUUCACUGCACAGGCACCCGCAGGAAAGGGCAGCUCACCAGGUAUGGCCACGGGGAACAGUUUAACAAAGCCAAACUUCAGAAGUGGGGGACAAACGGAGCUCUAAUAAGGGAACCAAGAACGGAUCAAGUGGAACCGAUGUGGAAUGUUUCUAUAAGGAGAGGAUCUAAUUUCACAUUCGCUCACGCUUGUGUAACGAGAUCAAAACGAGAGUGGGAAGUGCUACGUAAUUAUUCCCAGCUCCUGGCAAGCUUAAAACUUUACUUUUAGACAGUCCACCUCAGUGCUCAAACGCCAAGUACUUCCCAGCUCCUGGGCUGUCACCAUCAGCGGUGAGGACAACAACUGCCCCAAAACAAACACUUCCAUUUGCACGUUUGCUGGUUUGCCAGCUCAGUAACGCUGUCACUGCUGGGUCACGUUGUCACUGCUGGGUCACGUUGUCACUGCUGUGUCCUGCUCACCCCCCACAUCCAAAUGUGCACCAGUUGUUGCUGGACAGUUCUCCUGCACGUCCUUGGGGACUUGCUUUUCACUGCUGCUUGCCUCGCUCCCAGUCUCCGAGGGCUGGGCGGGGUCUCUAAGCAUUAUUAUAACCAAUAAUAGUUAUAUGAUGAUUUGAAAAACACUUUUGGACACUUCCAACAAGGCCCUAAAGCUGUUCAAUAGCUCCCUGCCAAAAAUGUGUCAGAGCUGAGUACUUUCCUAGCAGUCAUUUUACACAAAGAUGGCUAAACUGUUUUUGUUCAGACCUUCCAAAAAUACUUUUGAGAAGAGUUCAGACUUGAAAAAUGUCAUUCCCAAAUUGGAAGGAAGUGGAAGGAGUUUAAAAAUGAAAAGUUCAAGUAAUUUUAGUUACAGUUGCUUCUAGAUGUUCUACCCAUCAUUUGUGUGUCCGUAGCUGACACCCAACACAGCAUCACCCACACUGGCUGCUGUCUAAUCCCAGUUGUGCUGAUUUCCCAGGGAAAGGGGUAGAGCUUCCCCUGCAAUGCUCCCCAGCUCUUUCACCAUCACAGGAUUCAUUUUCCAACCCUGACUGCCACUGCUGCAGUCACUGUCCCAGCACAAAUUACACCAGUGCAUUCACAGAGGAAUAUUUUACAAUUCAAUAUUGGACUUUUCCUAAUGGAGUCUCACACAGUGUUCACAGAGUGUCAGUACACAGAAAAAUUAACAGACUGAUACUGCCAGUGCACAAGGGAUAUUAUGGAUAAUUCCAUCCAGUCAAAGCUGGCCAGAAGCAAAAUCCUUCAGUGCAGACACCUUCGUAUCCAAAACAUUUAAAGACAGAAUCUUCACCUUUUGCUCCUGACUUGAGCACAGGUAAGUAAACAGACAACUUGGAACAAACCCAACUAGCUAACAGGCUGUUUUCUCAUCCCACAAACACUUUGGAGAGAGAAAAAAAUUCCACGUAUUUCCUACCCUGAGAAAAUGUAAAGGAAAACUAGAAAAAUGUUUUCAAAUGAACAAUCUGGAGAGGAGGGAAAAAAAAGCUCAUCUUGGAUUAGUCAUUGGGCUUUUUAAAACUUCAGACAGUUGUAUGUCCCUCCUCCAGGACAAACCUGGGAUCCCCAAGUCACAGAUUACUCCCAGAAGCUGGAGACUUCUGUCCUCCCUUAAAACACCAACAGAGCUUGGAGCAUUUACAACAUACUUAGGAAGCACAAGCACUGGAAUGAGAUUAAGGCAGGAUAAAUCCUCAGCAAAGAAUUUAAAAGGUUUGGAAGUUAAGCAAUACCAUCCCAGGAAGAAAGGCACCACUGCCUGCAAGCAGCAACACAGGAAAAGGCCUCACCCUGAUGGAUGCUCGACACUUCCCAUGAGCUUCUGGAACUCCUCCCUAGGACUCUUCUUCAGCCAAGCCUCCACACUCUUCCAUCAUUUCCCUGAACCUAUGAGAUUUUUUUCUGUGAAAAGACUGCUGAAUCUGCCUCUUCAGUGGCAUUAUUGAUAUUUGUUAAUAAACCCUUUUUACGAAAAAGAGAUUGCUCAUUGCAUUUUUUAUAAAGAUAUGUGUGCUUAAAUAAAACUAAUCUACAACAAGA